rnacentral:lncRNA from 1 species
CGUUUCUGAGACGCCAAAUAAUACUAUUUCCUAUGAAACUAUGCAAUGAAAUUUUAUUAUAGUCGAAAAUAAAAUUUUUGUACUUCAUUUCAGCCAAUUAGAAAUUUUUAAUAUAAAAAUAUAAAAUAAUAUUUUAUAAUGUUUGAGAAUAAUACUUCUAAAGAUAAAAGAGACAAACGAGUACUAUAGAAAAUUAACUGAAAAUUAAAAUCUAUAUAUUCGAGUGAGAACACCUAUUGUAAAUCAACCAUAUUAGCGAGUACAUCAGGACAGUAGAGUGUUCGAGUAUCGUAGGUAGUAUCGCUCUUUUCUUAUCUUUAAGCCACUUUAAUUCAUUUCUUUCGCUUUUAUUUUAUUACAAUAAAAUUUAUGAUAAAUUAUAGUAUGACUUAUUUUAGGAUAAAAAAUAUAUAUAAAUUCAAAAUGAAGCAUGAUCACUAACUUGAUGAUUAGUAGUCAAUUCAUAAGUAAUAUAAUAGGGUAAAUUGCACUGCUACCUCCUGAACUUUUGGCGAGUUUCGCUUAACUCCCCAAAUUUCUAAAAUAGACAUCUAACACCCUAAGCUCUAAUAUUUCAUUCGUUUUACCCCUUCCGUUAGUUUUCGGUUAACGAAACUUGACGAAAAACUGACGGAAGAGGUAACAUAAAUGAAAUAUUAAAGUAUAGGGUGUUAGAUGUCCAUUU